UGAGAGUCCCGUAGACGUGAGUGUCAUGUGUGGUUGGCAGGUUGCCCCAAGUAGCGUGGGACUCGUGGAAUUUCGCGUGAAUCUGGCGGGACCACCCGUCAAGCCUAAAUACUCCUUGGUGACCGAUAGUGGAUUAGUACCGUGAGGGAAUGGUGAAAAGUACCCCGGGAGGGGAGUGAAAUAGUACCUGAAACCGGUCGCAUACAAGCCGUCAGAGCCUUGUGGGGUGAUGGCGUGCCUUUUGAAGAAUGAGCCUGCGAGUUAGUGAUGCGUGGCGAGGUUAACCUGUGUGGGGGAGUCGUAGCGAAAGCGAGUCUGAUAAGGGCGUGAGUCGCGUGUUCUAGACCCGAAGCGGUGUGAUCUAUCCAUGGCCAGGAUGAAGCGUCGGUAAGACGUCGUGGAGGUCCGAACCCACUUCAGUUGAAAAUGGAGGGGAUGAGCUGUGGAUAGGGGUGAAAGGCCAAUCAAACACCGUGAUAGCUGGUUCUCCCCGAAAUGCAUUUAGGUGCAGCGUUGCGUGGUUCUUGUCGGAGGUAGAGCACUGGAUGGUCUAGGGGGCCUAUCAGCUUACCGAAAUCAGCCAAACUCCGAAUGCCGGCAAGUGGAGCGUGGCAGUGAGACGGCGGGGGAUAAGCUUCGUCGUCGAGAGGGAAACAGCCCAGAUCAUCAGCUAAGGCCCCUAAGUGGUAGCUCAGUGGAAAAGGAUGUGGAGUUGCGCAGACAGCCAGGAGGUUGGCUUGGAAGCAGCCAUCCUUGAAAGAGUGCGUAAUAGCUCACUGGUCAAGUGAUUCCGCGCCGACAAUGUAGCGGGGCUUAAGUUAUCCGCCGAAGCUGUGGCAGAUCCCCUUGUGUGGGGGUUUGGGUAGGGGAGCGUCCUGUACGAGGUGAAGCUGCCGGGUGACCGUGUGGUGGAUUGUGCGGGAGUGAGAAUGCAGGCAUGAGUAGCGAAUGACGGGUGAAAAACCCGUCCGCCGAUUAUCCAAGGGUUCCAGGGUCAAGUUAAUCUGCCCUGGGUGAGUCGGGGCCUAAGGCGAGGCCGACAGGCGUAGUCGAUGGAUAACCAGUUGAUAUUCUGGUACCGGCUUGUCACCGUCCGUGUCGAGGUGUGUGAUGCUAAGCGUGCGAGCCUGCCAUUGUGAUGUCUUUGAUGUUGUGGUGGUGUGGUGAGUGUGUGAACCGAUCAUGUAGUAGGCAAGCUGCGGAGGGACGCAGGGAGGUAGCUCAUCCCCGGCGAUGGUUGUCCGGGGCUAAAUGUGUGGACCGUCUGGUAGGUAAAUCCGCCAGGGUUGUGGUUGAGGCAUGAUGGCGAGCCCACGUGUGUGGGUGAGUGAGUGAUCCUGUACUGUCGAGAAAAGCUUCGUGAGCGAGGUGGCUGGUCCGCCCGUACCCUAAACCGACACUGGUGGAUAGGUAGAGUAUACCGAGGCGAUCGAGAUCAUCAUGGUGAAGGAACUCGGCAAAAUGCCCCCGUAACUUCGGGAUAAGGGGGACCUGAACUGUUAAGGCCUGUACGGCUGGUAGCAGUGAGGGGCGCAGAGACCAGGGGGAAACGACUGUUUACCAAAAACACAGGUCCGUGCGAAGUCGUAAGACGAUGUAUACGGACUGACUCCUGCCCGGUGCUGGAAGGUUAAGGGGAACUGUUAGCGUUGGCGAAGCGGUGAACUUAAGCCCCAGUAAACGGCGGUGGUAACUAUAACCAUCCUAAGGUAGCGAAAUUCCUUGUCGGGUAAGUUCCGACCUGCACGAAUGGAGUAACGAUUUCCCUACUGUCUCCACCAUGAACUCGGUGAAAUUGCAGUACGAGUAAAGAUGCUCGUUACGCGCAGCAGGACGGUAAGACCCCGGGACCUUUACUAUAGUUUGGUAUUGGUGAUUGGGACGACUUGUGUAGGAUAGGUGGGAGACUGUGAAGUGGCCACGCUAGUGGUUGUGGAGUCAUUGUUGAAAUACCACUCUGGUCGUUCUGGUUAUCUAACUUUGGGCCGUGAUCCGGUUCAGGGACAGUGCCUGAUGGGUAGUUUGACUGGGGCGGUCGCCUCCUAAAAGGUAACGGAGGCGCCC
rnacentral:rRNA from 1 species